rnacentral:rRNA from 1 species
GAUGAACGCUGGCGGCGUGCCUAAUACAUGCAAGUCGAGCGAACGGACGAGAAGCUUGCUUUUCUGAUGUUAGCGGCGGACGGGUGAGUAACACGUGGAUAACCUACCUAUAAGACUGGGAUAACUUCGGGAAACCGGAGCUAAUACCGGAUAAUAUUUUGAACCGCAUGGUUCAAAAGUGAAAGACGGUCUUGCUGUCACUUAUAGAUGGAUCCGCGCUGCAUUAGCUAGUUGGUAAGGUAACGGCUUACCAAGGCAACGAUGCAUAGCCGACCUGAGAGGGUGAUCGGCCACACUGGAACUGAGACACGGUCCAGACUCCUACGGGAGGCAGCAGUAGGGAAUCUUACGCAAAGGGCGAAAGCCUGACGGAGCAACGCCGCGUGAGUGAUGAAGGUCUUCGGAUCGUAAAACUCUGUUAUUAGGGAAGAACAUAUGUGUAAGUAACUGUGCACAUCUUGACGGUACCUAAUCAGAAAGCCACGGCUAACUACGUG